rnacentral:rRNA from 1 species
ACGCUGGCGGCAGGCUUAACACAUGCAAGUCGAACGGUAACAGGGAUUAGCUUGCUAAUUUGCUGACGAGUGGCGGACGGGUGAGUAAUGCUUGGGAAUCUGGCUUAUGGAGGGGGAUAACUACGGGAAACUGUAGCUAAUACCGCGUAAAAUCUUCGGAUUAAAGGGUGGGACUUUCGAGCCACCUGCCAUAAGAUGAGCCCAAGUGGGAUUAGGUUGUUGGUUAGGUAAAGGCUGACCAAGCCGACGAUCUCUAGCUGGUCUGAGAGGAUGACCAGCCACACUGGAACUGAGACACGGUCCAGACUCCUACGGGAGGCAGCAGUGGGGAAUAUUGCACAAUGGGGGGAACCCUGAUGCAGCCAUGCCGCGUGAAUGAAGAAGGCCUUCGGGUUGUAAAGUUCUUUCGGUGACGAGGAAGGUUGAUAGGUUAAUAGCCUAUCAAAUUGACGUUAAUCACAGAAGAAGCACCGGCUAACUCCGUGCCAGCAGCCGCGGUAAUACGGGGGGUGCGAGCGUUAAUCGGAAUAACUGGGCGUAAAGGGCACGCAGGCGGUGACUUAAGUGAGAUGUGAAAGCCCCGAGCUUAACUUGGGAAUUGCAUUUCAUACUGGGUCGCUAGAGUACUUUAGGGAGGGGUAGAAUUCCACGUGUAGCGGUGAAAUGCGUAGAGACGUGGAGGAAUACCGAAGGCGAAGGCAGCCCCUUGGGAAUGUACUGACGCUCAUGUGCGAAAGCGUGGGGAGCAAACAGGAUUAGAUACCCUGGUAGUCCACGCUGUAAACGAUGUCGAUUUGGGGAUUGGGCUUUGAGCUUGGUGCCCGUAGCUAACGUGAUAAGUCGACCGCCUGGGGAGUACGGCCGCAAGGUUAAAACUCAAAUGAAUUGACGGGGGCCCGCAC